CAGAAUCGGGAUGUUUCUACCCGUUUCUAAGAGCAGGAAGUACAACAUCUGUUAGUGGAAGGGAGAGCAGGGAAAAUAUUGUGUAUAUCGUGCACCAGUCAGAGAGGGCUGCUGGGUUUACUGACAGGGCACCUGCUCUCUGCAAAGUCCCUGCGCUCAGCGCUGGGGACAAAGGCGAACUGGGCGCAUCCCUGCCUCUUAGGGAGCAGGAAUCUUGCUCAUGCUCACUGCCACACCCCUCAGCUAGUGCCGGGCACCAGUGGUCCUCAAUGAGCACAUGUGGGACGAAUCCUAAUAUCACAGCUUGGAGUCUAGACUCUCACAGGCAACUACACAGGCAGUGAAAAUACUAUCCACUCAACAAAUAUGUAUUGAGCACCUGCUAUGGGGCUAUGCGAAGACAGGCAAUGGCCAUGACCCAUUGAAGUCUGGGGGUCUGGGAGCACAAGACAGGCCCCUAACUCCUCCCCAGGUGUAAGAGAUGGCUUUCGGGAGGGAGCAGCCCCAGAGCGGAGUCUCCAGCGUGAGGGGUGGGGAGUGAGGACACAGAGGAAGGGGACAGCUUGUGCCAAGGCAUGGUGGUGACACAGUGAGAGCAAGUCUGGGGGAUGGCCAGCAGCUCCUACAGCCGGAGGGCAAUGGGUGAGGCUGGGAGGGAAGGAGCUGGCAGAAUGGGCAGGGCCAGACCACCAAGUAGUGUCAAGCACUGAGGGUUUGAGGAAGAGGAUGAUGAUGGGAUUGGCUCCAGAGGCAGACCAGCCUGCAGAGCCAUCAGCUCGACACUAUGGCACACGGACACUCCGAGCAGAGGGGUGACUGACGUGACUUCCAUUCCAGGAGGAUUCCGCUGCGUGGACACCAAUGAAGACGAGGGGGGAAGAAGCAGGGAGGCCAGUGAGGAGGCCACUGCAAUGACCCAGACCUGAACAUGGAUCCUCGCAGAAACGGUUUGAAAAGGAGAUACCCACGGUACGUCACCAAUAACUGGGUGCUGAGAGUGUGCACUCUUGGGAGACCCUGAGCGUUCUAGCCCGCAGUCCCCACGCUGGGCGGCUGCCCACGAGUCUCCUCCGGGAGGAAGAGGGCGGUGAGCAGGAGCUAUGAAGAUGAAUUCAGAAACUCCCCUGGAGGAGAAGACAUCUGAGCCACCCCUGUGCCACCAGCAAGAGUCACCCCAGCCACUGCGGGAGGAGCGGGCUCUAAUUAAAGCCCUUGGUUGCAUCACA